AUAGAGCAACAGCUUCUAUGCAGUUUAUGAAGGCCCCGUUAAUCUUUUCCUUCCGCCAAGAUUGAAGAAGAUUAUCGGGGUUUUUGCUU
rnacentral:antisense_RNA from 13 species